CAGAUGUUGGCAGUGACAUGCAGUUGACUUAGCCACCUGGAACCCUUAGUUUGGAUGCAGAUGGAUGAAGUGACUGACCGACUGUUUCCUCUGUUGUCAUCUCCAGACGGCCUGCAGGUGUCGGGAGGGCUUCCGACCAUUAGGGAGGUUCUGUUAUCCCAGCAACCCCUGCAGAAAUAACAACGGUGGAUGCAGUAGGCACGCUCGCUGUGAGUACAUAGGCGAUGGUCAGAGGAACUGCACCUGCUACAGAGACUAUGUGGGCGAUGGCAUCGACUGCCGGGGAAACACCAACAAUGAGAUCUCACGACUUCCGGAGAAUGCCUUCUUCCAUCAAAUGCUAUCUGUGAGUUGCUGUCAGCCACAUUGAAAUCCACUCAGUAAAUAAA